rnacentral:SRP_RNA from 1 species
CCGUGCUAGGUGGGGAGGUAGCGGUGCCUUUUACUCGAAAUCCGCUCUAGCGAGACUGAAUUCCUCAUGGAGGUUUAUAUUCUAUUAUCUCUAAAUAUUAAUAUUGGUAUUGAUAGUUGGGUUCUAUGCAUCAAAACCUUGUCAACUCCGUCAGGUCUGGAAAGAAGCAGCGGUAAUCAUUGGAAUUUGAGUGACAUAGAGUGGCCUUUCUUGAGCUAAUUUUAAAGUUUAUGUAAUAAAUAUAUAUCGAAUUGUAGGUGCACGG